GUAGGGAAUAUUGCACAAUGGAGGAAACUCUGAUGCAGCGACGCCGCGUGAGUGAUGAAGGCCUUCGGGUCGUAAAGCUCUGUCGCAGGGGAAUAAGCAAGUGAAUGUACCCUGAAAGAAAGGAUCGGCUAACUUCGUGCCAGCAGCCGCGGUAAGACGAGGGAUCCUAGCGUUGUUCGGAAUUAUUGGGCGUAAAGCGGGUGUAGGUGGCUUUGUAAGUCAGGUGUGAAAGCCCAGGGCUCAACCCUGGAAGUGCAUUUGAUACUGCGAAGCUUGAGUGUAGGAGAGGUUACUAGAAUUCUUGGUGUAGUGGUGAAAUACGUAGAUAUCAAGAGGAAUACCGGAGGCGAAAGCGGGUAACUGGCCUAACACUGACACUCAGACCCGAAAGCGUGGGGAUCAAACAGGAUUAGAAACCCCUGUAGUCC
rnacentral:rRNA from 1 species